rnacentral:rRNA from 1 species
UACGGAGGGAGCUAGCGUUGUUCGGAAUUACUGGGCGUAAAGCGUACGUAGGCGGUUAUUCAAGUCAGAGGUGAAAGCCCGGGGCUCAACCCCGGAACGGCCUUUGAAACUAGGUAGCUAGAGUCUUGGAGAGGUUAGUGGAAUUCCGAGUGUAGAGGUGAAAUUUGUAGAUAUUCGGAAGAACACCAGUGGCGAAGGCGAACUAACUGGACAAGUACUGGACGACGU